AUUGAACGCUGGCGGCAGGCCUAACACAUGCGAGUCGAACGGUAACAGGAAGCAGCUUGCUGCUUCGCUGACGAGUGGCGGACGGGUGAGUAAUGUCUGGGAAGCUGCCUGAUGGAGGGGGAUAACUACUGGAAACGGUAGCUAAUACCGCAUAAUGUCGCAAGACCAAAGAGGGGGACCUUCGGGCCUCUUGCCAUCGGAUGUGCCCAGAUGGGAUUAGCUUGUUGGUGGGGUAACGGCUCACCAAGGCGACGAUCCCUAGCUGGUCUGAGAGGAUGACCAGCCACACUGGAUCUGAGACACGGUCCAGACUCCUACGGGAGGCAGCAGUGGGGAAUAUUGCACAAUGGGCGCAAGCCUGAUGCAGCCAUGCCGCGUGUAUGAAGAAGGCCUUCGGGUUGUAAAGUACUUUCAGCGGGGAGGAAGGGAGUAAAGUUAAUACCUUUGCUCAUUGACGUUACCCGCAGAAGAAGCACCGGCUAACUCCGUG
rnacentral:rRNA from 1 species